GAUGAACGCUGACAGAAUGCUUAACACAUGCAAGUCUACUUGAUUUAUGGUUUCGGCCGUAAUGAUGGUGGCGGACGGGUGAGUAACGCGUAAAGAAUCUGCCCUUUAGACUGGGAUAACAGUUGGAAACGACUGCUAAUACCGGAUAUUAUGGAACCAUCGCAUGAUGGAAUCAUGAAAGCUAUAUGCGCUAGAGGAGGACUUUGCGUCCCAUUAGCUAGUUGGUGAGGUAACGGCUCACCAAGGCGACGAUGGGUAGCCGGCCUGAGAGGGUGAUCGGCCACAAGGGAACUGAGACACGGUCCUUACUCCUACGGGAGGCAGCAGUGGGGAAUAUUGGACAAUGGGCCACAAGCCUGAUCCAGCAAUUCUGUGUGCACGAUGAAGGUCUUCGGAUUGUAAAGUGCUUUCAGUAGGGAAGAAUAAAUGACGGUACCUACAGAAGAAGCGACGGCUAAAUAUGUGCCAGCAGCCGCGGUAAUAC
rnacentral:rRNA from 1 species